UACGGAGGAUGCGAGCGCUAUCCGGAUUUAUUGGGUUUAAAGGGUGCGUAGGCGGGCUGUUAAGUCAGCGGUAAAAGCCCGGGGCUCAACCCCGGCGAGCCGUUGAAACUGGCUGUCUUGAGAUGUCGAGAGGUAUGCGGAAUGCGCAGUGUAGCGGUGAAAUGCUUAGAUAUUGCGCAGAACUCCGAUUGCGGAGGCAGCAUACCGGCGGCGAUCUGACGCUGAGGCACGAAAGCGUGGGUAUCGAACAGG
rnacentral:rRNA from 1 species